GCGAACGCUGGCGGCAGGCUUAACACAUGCAAGUCGAGCGGGCGUAGCAAUACGUCAGCGGCAGACGGGUGAGUAACGCGUGGGAACAUACCUUUUGGUUCGGAACAACACAGGGAAACUUGUGCUAAUACCGGAUAAGCCCUUACGGGGAAAGAUUUAUCGCCGAAAGAUUGGCCCGCGUCUGAUUAGCUUGUUGGUGAGGUAACGGCUCACCAAGGCGACGAUCAGUAGCUG
rnacentral:rRNA from 1 species